UAGCAACAUCAUAGUUAAUGUUAGUUUUUGCCGUCUUGUGCUUGCCACCUAUUUUAAUGAAAUAAUCCACCUCAUUCUUUGACCUGAAUUUAUCAACGGACACCGAUUCAAUAUAGCAUCUAUCAAAAAUCCCUUAGUGGCUCCAGUGAUACGAACUUUUGUUUCAAACCUCCAAUUCUCUGGCAACUAGUUUGGCCUAUCUAGA
rnacentral:lncRNA from 1 species